CCUGGGAUACAGGCCAGCUACGCUAGCAAAAGAAUCAGAAAAGAAAGGAGUCGGGCUUAAAAGAGGCACCACCUGCCCUCCCUGGCCCUCAGAAAUAGGCCUCAGACCAAGUAGGGAAGACAGACAGAGAAUGCCUGUGCACAUAUGCUGUCAAGAAGGGCUCGCGGAUGCCGAGGAAAGCCCAGAGGAGACAGCAGCUGCUUUUGUUUCCUUGGAGGCAGCGCCCAGCAGGGAGUGAGGCCAGUGUCCAGAGUCACGCCGCCUCCGCAUGCUCCCCGCUCCUCUGCCACCCGCCCUCCCUGCACGCUUGUCUGCCUGAAUUGCCUCUUUGUGUGCCCGUCUCCUGGAGCAGGCUCGGCAAUUUGCAUCUUUGCUGUUCUCCUUUUAAAAAUGACAGAAA
rnacentral:lncRNA from 1 species